CCUAGAAUAAUGCCCGUGCUAUUCAAUAGUUGGUAUUUUAAAAAGAAGUUCAAAGAACACACUUCUCAACUUCUCUCACCUGUACAACCCUCACACUACAUGAUUGUUCAUCCCUUCCAAUUCCAAUUUUGAUACUCCAAUAGCACAGUACAACUAAAACAACACGCAGACCGUGAAUUGUAUCAUCAAAAUUGGCGCCUUUCUAUUUCAUUUCAAAUAGUCGACAGCAAACACCCAAAUUUGCAAUUCCAAAAACACACAGAACCCUAGCAUAUCAAACGAAUUGAAUUUUCUUCAGUAGAGCAAAAAUGAUACUGAGAACACCACCACCAAGGAAACGGAGGGCCGAAUCCAAUCCUCCUGAGGAAGGUUCUCCCGCCGGCCGCCUUGUCAUCUACGAGGAUCCUCCUUCGCCGCAACCUGAAUCUUCUCCUCUUCCUUCCGAUCAUUUGCUUUGCACCUAUCAAUGCCGUCAAAUGGUUAAAGCGGAGCUUUUGGAUAAUUAUGCUAGCAUGGAAAAAACAAUUGAUGAAAAUCAGUCCAAAUUAGUGACAUUGAAUGAGAACCUCUUGACAGCAGAAGAAGAAGGGAAGAAAUAUCGAGAUCAAUUUCUGUAUGCCGAGCAGGAGCUUGCUGCUGCUAGAGGCCGUGAGCAGUCACUGCAGGAUAAGCUCUUGAAGGAGAUCAAGGAAUCUCAGGAGCGACUGACGAAACAAAUACAACAAUGCAAUGAACUUGAGGUCAAGCUCCAAAAGGAAGAAAGCAUGCGCAGAAGUUCAGAAUCUUCAGCAGCUGCUGCUGAAGAGAAAGCUAACCGUUUAGAGCGGAAACUAAACCAACUUUCAGACAGCACAGAAAGAGAAAGAAAGAAUCUACAAGACGAACUCAAGCAUUUGAAAGGAGAUUCAAAGCUUUCUAUGUCUAGGUUAAGGGCUGAACUUGAAAGAGUGCAAUGCCAAUCUAGUAAUGCUGUAAAGGAGUCAGAGCAAUUAAAGAAGAAGCUGGAAGAAGUUAUCAAACAGCUCAAUAAGUGUUUGCAAGAAAAGAAUGAGCUGGAAACAAAAAUAUCAAGCUUUACAUGCCCAGAGGAGGGUUCUGAAUCUUCUCAGAAUGAUGUCUUACUGAAGCACUUGCAGGAGGAGCUAAGAAAUUAUGAGUAUGAAGUGCUUGAGGCAAGGAAGUUGAAAGCAUCUCAUGAGAACAUCGAGCUGGUGAAGGAGAAGCUCAUAGAAGAAAGAAGGCGGAGGGAAAGGGCAGAGGCAGAGCUAACUAAGUUACAAGAGAUUCAGUUAAGUAUGAAUGUACUGGAGGAUGAAUUAGCUUCUUGGAAGAAAAUCUUGAAAGAAAUUCCUGGAGUUGAAUCUUCCGAUGAUGUCCCCCUGAAGUUUGUUGCUCUACAGAAGGAGGUGAUAGAUGGCAUGGCAAAGCUAGGAGAGGCAAACACACGCUUGAAACAACUUGAAGUAGCUCUGGAGGGUGCUGAGCUUGAUAAGAAAAAUGUUGAAUCAGAAACAGCAUUAGCUAAGGAGAAGGAGGAAUCGUUGAAGUUAGAAAUUAAGGAACUCAAAUCGAAACUAUUGUCAGUUAAUGAAGAUGGAGAUCAAUUAAGAACUGCUUAUAAUGAAUUGAAACAGCAGACGAAUGUAGAGCCUGGUUAUGAAGCUGUCGGGAGAGCCUUAACUCAGGGGCUUGAAUCAUCUCUUGCCCAAAAAGACACUUACAUCAAAGAAUUGGAGCUCAAUCUUAGUGAACAUAAAGCUGCCAAUGAUCGUCAACGUAACGAGAUUAGGAUGCUGAAUGAGAAGCUAAACAGUGAAGCACGAAAAAUAAAGUCUCUAGAGAGAGAGAGUGACCGACUUCGUUCUGAGAUUGCUCUCUUGGAGUCCAAAUUAGGACAUGGUGAUUUUUCGUCUGCUAAUACAAAAGUCCUGCGAAUGGUGAAUGCUCUGGGGGUUGAGAGUGAGGCUAGACAAACUAUAGAAGCCUUACAAUGUGAACUUCAGAAGGCUAAUGAGAAACUUCAGGUUGUCGAAGAAUUAAAGAAACAAUCAGCUGAUGCGGGGCAGUUAGUGGAUUCAUAUAUUUCUGGUAAAAUAGUGCAGUUGAAAGAGCAAAUAUCAACACUUGAGAAGCGUGAGGAAAGGUACAAGACUGUGUUUGCUGAUAGAAUCUCAGUUUUUAGGAGGGCAUGCUGUGAACUUUUUGGUUAUAAGAUUGUUAUGGAUGAUCAACAUCGUUCAAAUGGGAUUCCUAUAACGCGUUUCACGCUUCAAUCUAUCUAUGCGCAAAGUGAUGAUGAGAAGCUAGAAUUCGAAUAUGAGUCGGGUAACACAAACAUUUUGAUAAAUGACUAUGCAAAACAGCGUGACAUAUCGCGACAGGUUGAGAUAUUUAUUCGAAAGCUGAACUCAAUUCCAGCUUUUACAGCCAACAUAACUGUAGAAUCUUUCAAUAAGCGCACUCUAUCCUAAUGGGGAAUGAAAGGGAGAAGCUGGGCUCUUCUGGCCUUAACAGCCGCAACAUGAGCUCUAGCGACACCUGACCUAUUCAAGAAAAUAGUGGAGUGACUUUGACAACCAUUGCCUGUGUUGCUAUGAUCCUUUCUGAAUGUUGUUUUGGUAGAUGACCCAUCGUGCACCUCCAUUCCAUCCUUUGGAAUCUUUCCGCUCCAUCCACGUCAAUAAUGAUAGGCAUUCCCAGCUAUUUGUCCUCUGCCUUAAAAGCUUCAGUUGCUUUUGUUUCAAAUCAAUUCUUUGCCUCAUGUAUACUCUCCAUAUUCCUGUUUGGGUCACGGCUCAAAAUGGUCCAUAAGGUUGGGAGGAAAUCUUUUGCUCCAUUAUAGGAUCUUCAUUGUCAUUAACAUAUAUCUGACAAAGAUUUAAUCUAGCAUUUGGGUUCCUAGUGUUGAUCAUCUACUUUGUCCUUGAUUUGAGCAUGGUUAAACUCUUCAAGACACCGGACAAUUGGAUUGUUUGAUAGAUUUCUCUGAUGUGACUAUAAGGCUUUUAUGAUGUUUUAAUAUUUUCACCUUGUAUCUAAAGUCCCAUAAGAGUGACUUCAUUAAUUACUUUCCACCCAUAGAAGAGACAUUAUGGGCUUUAUGGAAAAUUAAUCUUCCAAAUUUUCUCUGAAAA